GGUACUGUAGCCAAGUGGUUACGGCGUCACGUUUAGGUCCUUUACCAAUCCGUGAUGGGAAACCUCGCGAGUUCGAAUCUCGUCAGUGCCA